rnacentral:rRNA from 1 species
AGUUGGGCACUCUAAUGAGACUGCCGGUGACAAACCGGAGGAAGGUGGGGAUGACGUCAAAUCAGCAUGCCCCUUAUGACUUGGGCUACACACGUGCUACAAUGGAUGGUACAACGAGUCGCAAACCCGCGAGGGCAAGCAAAUCUCUUAAAGCCAUUCUCAGUUCGGAUUGCAGGCUGCAACUCGCCUGCAUGAAGCCGGAAUCGCUAGUAAUCGUGGAUCAGCACGCCACGGUGAAUACGUUCCCGGGUCUUGUACACACCGCCCGUCACACCACGAGAGUUUGUAACACCCGAAGUCGGUGAGGUAACCUUUAUGGAGCCAGCCGCCGAAGGUGGGACAGAUGAUUGGGGUGAAGUCGUAACAAGGUAGCCGUAUCGGAAGGUGCGGCUGGAUCACCUCCUUUCUAAGGAA